rnacentral:rRNA from 1 species
AUCCUGGCUCAGGAUGAACGCUGGCGGCGUGCUUAACACAUGCAAGUCGAACGGAGCGUCUUUGAUAGAGGAUUCGUCCAAUUGAUAAGAUUGCUUAGUGGCGGACGGGUGAGUAACGCGUGAGGAACCUGCCUUGGAGUGGGGAAUAACAGUUAGAAAUGACUGCUAAUACCGCAUAAUGCAUUUGAGCCGCAUGGCUCUGAAUGCCAAAGAUUUAUCGCUCUGAGAUGGACUCGCGGCCGAUUAACUAGUUGGUGAGGUAACGGCUCACCAAGGCGACGAUCGGUAGCCGGACUGAGAGGUUGACCGGCCACAUUGGGACUGAGAUACGGCCCAGACUCCUACGGGAGGCAGCAGUGGGGAAUAUUGGGCAAUGGGCGAAAGCCUGACCCAGCAACGCCGCGUGAGGGAAGACGGUCUUCGGAUUGUAAACCUCUGUCGUAAGGGACGAAUAAUGACGGUACCUUACAAGAAAGCCACGGCUAACUACGUG